rnacentral:rRNA from 1 species
ACUCAAAUGAAUUGACGGGGACCCGCACAAGCGGUGGAGCAUGUGGUUUAAUUGGAUGGUAAGCCGGGCACCUCACCAAGGUUUGACAUCCCAGUGAAAGGCACUAGAAAUAGAGCCCCUCUUCGGACACUGGAGACAGGUGCUGCACGGUUGUCGUCAGCUCGUGUUGUGAAAUGUACCGUUAAGUCGGAUAACGAGCGCAACCCCUAUUGCCAGUUACAAGUGUCUGGCGAGACUGCCGUGGUUAACACGGAGGAAGGUGGGGAUGACGUCAAAUCAGCGUGGCCUUUAUACCUUGGGCGACACACGUGCUACAAUGGGUAGGUAACAAUGGGUUGCCAAGUCGUAAGACGGAGCUAAUCCCACCAAAACUACCCUCAGUUCAGAUUGAGGUCUGCAACUCGACCUCAUGAAGUUGGAAUCGCUAGUAACCGCAAAUCAGCCAUGUUGCGGUGAAUACGUUCUCGGGUCUUGUACACACCGCCCGU